rnacentral:rRNA from 1 species
AGUGAACGCUGGCGGUAGGCCUAACACAUGCAAGUCGAACGGCAGCACAGAGGAGCUUGCUCCUUGGGUGGCGAGUGGCGGACGGGUGAGGAAUACAUCGGAAUCUACUCUGUCGUGGGGGAUAACGUAGGGAAACUUACGCUAAUACCGCAUACGACCUACGGGUGAAAGCAGGGGAUCUUCGGACCUUGCGCGAUUGACUGAGCCGAUGUCGGAUUAGCUAGUUGGCGGGGUAAAGGCCCACCAAGGCGACGAUCCGUAGCUGGUCUGAGAGGAUGAUCAGCCACACUGGAACUGAGACACGGUCCAGACUCCUACGGGAGGCAGCAGUGGGGAAUAUUGGACAAUGGGCGCAAGCCUGAUCCAGCCAUACCGCGUGGGUGAAGAAGGCCUUCGGGUUGUAAAGCCCUUUUGUUGGGAAAGAAAUCCAUCUGGUUAAUACCCGGAUGGGAUGACGGUACCCAAAGAAUAAGCACCGGCUAACGGAGGGCCAGCCGCCGCAGUAA